rnacentral:rRNA from 1 species
CACGUGGGGAACCUGCCCCAUAGUCUGGGAUACCACUUGGAAACAGGUGCUAAUACCGGAUAAGAAAGCGGAUCGCAUGAUCAGCUUUUAAAAGGCGGCGUAAGCUGUCGCUAUGGGAUGGCCCCGCGGUGCAUUAGCUAGUUGGUAAGGUAAAGGCUUACCAAGGCGAUGAUGCAUAGCCGAGUUGAGAGGCUGAUCGGCCACAUUGGGACUGAGACACGGCCCAAACUCCUACGGGAGGCAGCAGCC